UGAAUGCAGAGUGUGUGUUAGUGUAGUGAAUGCAGAAUGUGUUACUGUGUAGUGAAUGAAGAGAGUGUGUUAGUGUGUAGCUAAUGCAGAGUGUGUUAGUGUAGUGAAUGCAGAGAGUGUGUUAAUGUGUAGUGAAUGCAGAGAGUGUGUUUGUGUGUAGCGGAUGCAGAGUGUGUGUUAGUGUAGUGAAUGCAGAGAGUGUGUUAGUGUGUAGCGGAUGCAGAGUGUGUG